GUCCGCGUAACUCAGUGGUAGAGUGUGAGAUUGCAAUCUGUUGCAUUAUCUCGAAGCCCCGUGUUCGAACCACGGCGCGGACU